CUACGGGGUGCAGCAGUGGGGAAUAUUGCACAAUGGGCGCAAGCCUGAUGCAGCCAUGCCGCGUGUAUGAAGAAGGCCUUCGGGUUGUAAAGUACUUUCAGCGGGGAGGAAGGGAGUAAAGUUAAUACCUUUGCUCAUUGACGUUACCCGCAGAAGAAGCACCGGCUAACUCCGUGCCAGCAGCCGCGGUAAUACGGAGGGUGCAAGCGUUAAUCGGAAUUACUGGGCGUAAAGCGCACGCAGGCGGUUUGGUAAGUCAGAUGUGAAAUCCCCGGGCUCAACCUGGGAACUGCAUCUGAACUGGCAAGCUUGAGUCUCGUAGAGGGGGGUAGAAUUCCAGGUGUAGCGGUGAAAUGCGUAGAGAUCUGGAGGAAUACCGGUGGCGAAGGCGGCCCCCUGGACGAAGACUGACGCUCAGGUGCGAAAGCGUGGGGAGCAAACAGGAUUAGAUACCCGUGUAGUC
rnacentral:rRNA from 1 species